rnacentral:lncRNA from 1 species
CUUUAUUCUGAGAGCUAAGAAAAUUUUUCAAUAUGAUAAAAAAAAAUAAUGAGUGAUAACAAAAAUUAAUGAGCAUUUAUACAAAUUUGAUAUUCCACCGCAAUAUCUAUGUACUGUUUAAACUGUUUAUUCAAAAUACACUCAGACGCAGAUUUCCUGGCACCGAUUUCCUGCAUAACAGGAGCGACAAAGAAUGUAGGACAGAAAGUCACAGGACAAAAAGUAA